UACUUAUCAGCUAGCGCACAUAAUU
rnacentral:rRNA from 1 species